rnacentral:lncRNA from 10 species
GUCGGAACUGGACCUUGAUGAAGGAAAUACUUUCUGACUCAUUGGAAUUUGUUAUAGUCAAAUUUGCCUAUGUGAUAACUUAGGUCUUCACGAUGGCCCAGAGUAAGACGACGCAGGAGGACCCUUCUAGUCAUUUAAUUAUUGCUUGACCAGAACUGUGCCUUGUAAGGUGUUUCCAGACCUAAGAAUAACAGGAACAUGGAGGAGUGGCAUCUCCAGUGUAGCCACCCACCAAAGCCUCAUCCUGAACACUAUGGCCUAGUGGGUCACUUACAGGGAUGUAGCUGGCAUUGAUGUAGUCAGAGCAAGGAUCAUCAUCUACAUUGGAGAGCUUCACUCGCGUGGCAUCAUCUGGAAGGAGAGAUUUGCUGCUGAGUCUUGGAGUGACUUUUCUACAGUUUAUGUGAUGUGUGUGAUGUGCCUUAGCUCUGAUCCCCACAACAGCCACAGAUGGGAAGUGAUCUUAUCUCCAUUUUGCAGAUGAGGCUCAGGCAGGAUAACUAACUUGCCCCAUGUUGCAUAGGUGGCCUAUAACCAGUCAGACACAGGAGACAACAUGAAGCCCCAUCUGUGCUUCCCUUUCUGACAUUACCACAUUUGCCUGAUGGAGUGGCCAGCUCCCUUUCACUGCUGGAAUGAAUACAAUCCAGAAAACCUACCUUCUAUUGCUUUACCUAAUGGGGUAAGGAAAUUUAAGUAGAAAUUGCUAACCGAAGACUUUGCUAAGCAAACCCAGGUCUGCUUGAUGUCAGAGCCCUUGCUGUUAACCCCAUUUACUGCUUA